rnacentral:antisense_RNA from 2 species
UUUUAUGGCGGGAUUGUUUGGGCAGCCGAAAGGCUGGCCGCGCCUAGAUGCGGUAUUUCCACCCCACUCAAUCCCGUCGCCCGU